GUCGGCUACGGGGACAUGUACCCCGUGACCAUCGGAGGGAAGAUCGUUGGCUCUUUGUGCGCCAUCGCUGGAGUGCUAACCAUCGCACUUCCUGUUCCUGUCAUUGUGUCCAAU